UCCCUGGUGGUCCAGUGGUUAAAAUGCCACACUCCCAAUGCAGGGGGCUCAGGUUCAAUCCCUGGUCAGGGAA
rnacentral:tRNA from 1 species